rnacentral:lncRNA from 1 species
AACAAAUCAUAACUACUAUUGUCUCUAAUUUUUCGCCUUAACGUCUGACGCUUCACGUGGGUUGAAGAAUCGUUUUUCUUCAUGAAACCUUCCCCCUCCUUUCUGAAUUUUUUUCUUUGUCUGUAGCUGCUCACUCCCUUUGCAAAUAUCAAGGCAUUCUUCCCGAGAAUUUCCGACCUCACUUGCGGCUUCAUUGCUAUCCACGUUCCGACAAACUCCCUUUGUGCCUUAGGCCGACUACCGCCAACGCACCAUGUCUCCAUCUCCUCUUCCUGUAAUUGGACUUUUCGACAAUCCAUCUUCUUUUUUUUCUGGCUACCGGUGACCGACUCAGAAUCUUUCCUCCGCCGCGGUUUCUAUUUGUCCCCGCCUCGAUUUUCCGUCACGACCCAAUAUGUUUCCAUUCGCCAGCCUCUCUAUGAUCCCUGUACUAAUUCCAUUGCCAUUUUCUUCCUUGUCGUUACCCAUUCUAUCUUACUCCGAUGACCUUCGAAAUUCCUUUAUUCAUCUUCUUCAUUGCCUAGCUUCCUCAUCCCUUCCCUACUUUGAUAUAACUCGCAUGCCACAAAAGAAAGGCAAGGAAAGUAACGUACCUCAACAAAAUCUUGGCCUAUAUAUAUGAUCAGCCUCUCAAUGUUGCCACUCCAAUGAGCCGUUUCUUCUAUUUUCACAGAUCGUAUCCAGGUCGACUUGUUCCACAUAGGUACUGUUUGAUUCUUCUUUUUGUUUUCUUCACUACCACCAAGUAUCAAUGAUCGCUUCCUCAAUCGUUUCUUUGCCUUCCUUCUCAUCCAUAGUGUUUGCCUCCUUUCCCAUGCUUCCGCCUUCUCUGCUCGGUGUUUCCAUUUCCACCAAGUGUUUGUCUCCGACCACCUCACCCUUAGUCGUCGGCCAUGGGAAUACAUAGUUAGAUUUGGCUUCCUCUUCCCUUCAUCUUUUUCAUGGUCGUUCUUCAAUUCCUUCAUCUACAAGUCAUUGUUCCAUUUCUGUUUUUCUUCAACUUUAAUUUCUUCUAGUUUCUUCUCCUCUCUUUCUUUAUCUCUUUGCAGCCUUCUUUAUCUCUUUGCAGCCCUUCAGAAAGCUUUUGAUGUAUUGUUUUAGCACUCCUCUGUAUUCUUUCUGCCUUGCAAUCAACAAUCCAUUUCUGCAUAUGCUCCCAUGUCCAUGGAGUUUCUCCCCUCUCAGCCGCCUCAAGUUUGCAUCAGCAGCCCAUUUAAGUGCUUGCUCCCAAGUCCCUCUCUCAACUGCGGUCGAGUCUUCUUCCAUCUUUCCUUUCAUUUUCAACACCGAUCCCUCCGACGUAGCAGAUUCUUCCCGUCGGCAACUAACAUUGCUUUCUCGUAAUUCCUCUGCUAGCCUUUCGAUGCUUUUGGACAACUCCAGAGUCACAUCUUUAAGUUCCCUAAUGUCCUUCUCAUUCUUCUCCAACCUCUCCUCCAUUUUUUUUUUUGCAUCCAAGCUUGUGUCAUCCCCAAGAUGUUACGGCUCUGAUACCAAUUUGUUAGGAUCCCACCUAACAAGGAUUACCUCAAGAAGAAAAGAUGAACUCAAGAAUACUAAAAAACAUCCAAACAUGAAAUAUAUAUUAGAAGAUCUUAAUAACAAGUAACAAGUAAACCCUAGCCUUUUGAGAGGGUUAGACUCUCCCAAGGUUCCCUUACAAGGAAAACUUUCUCAAAAUUCUUCACACCUCUCCCCAACUCCUCUCCCACUAUUUAUAACAAAAAGACCUAACCAACUUACCAUCUAUUUACUAAUAUGACCUUACUAACAACCAUUUUCAUUUUCUCCUAAUAAUCCACUAUUUUUCUAUCUAGGGUCCUUACAGGAACCUCCCCUUUUCGAACCAGAUACAGUAGAAAGAGUUUACGAUCUUGCAGCUUUUAACUUCCAUUUUUUGACUCCCCAAGUUUGAUGUUGCCGAAGAGAGGGGAGACGACAUGACCGCUUAGUGAGAUGAGAGGAGUCGUGACCGGAAAGCCGUGGCCGGAGUUGAGGGAGAAGAGGGUGGGUGAGAGGAGAGAGGAAAGAGAGGGGAGAGGGGAGAGAGGAGAGAGAAGAGAGAGAACUUACCUCAAUUUGUCAUUCAGACACUCGCAAAUAUUAAAAAGAAAGUAAUUGUUGCUACUCUUUUACCAAUGCUAUAAGAAUAAAGUGAUUAUUAGAUUGUUAUCAUUACUUGUCAAACCAAACAGCACCUUCAAAUUUGUAAUCUAUAAAAAGGGUAAGAAAAGAAGGGAUAGCUAAACCUUUUCAUAUCAGAACUACCCUCUCUUUGAAUUUUCAUCGUGGCUCCAUCGCUGACACCUGGUGGUAUUACUAAGCUCAUUUUUUUAAUUGAUUGCAGUUGACCACCGCCACCACAGCUUCGACAUAAAUUUGUUAUUUUCUUACCAUCACCGCCACAUUCAGAACAUAUGGACACCUAAGAUGUAACAGAGCAAUGAGCUUAAGGUAAAUCAACGAGGCUAAGAGUUGGAUUUUUCAUAGUACUUUUUUCUAAAAACCAAAAUUCAUCUGAACACGUGAAACUUGUAAGAAACCAAUUGAGAGAUUGAAGUAAAUUAUUGAGUUCUAGCGUUACACUGAAAAGUUUGAGCAUUGAGCUCUUUUUAUUAUAUCAGUGAAAAUUUUGUUUCAUUUAAAAAUAAAAAAGCACUAGUGUUUUUUAGUGGUUCAUCCACCAGACUUGGGUUCUUGUCUCCUUCAAACUCCUUAAAACUCAAGGACACAGAUGUACAACCUACGGAACAGAUCCUGUUCAAGUAAGGUUGUAAAAAUCGGGUGUUACAAUCGCAAAUCAGUUUUUCAUUACCUUCCCUCGCAUCUACUACAAUUGGUAAUAAUAUGUAUAAAAGAUUAAACAUAUCCUGACCAAGUAUUUCUUGAUUCAUAGAAUAGAUUACUUUUUGUAUUAUCUUUAUGUAGUUUGAGACUUUGUCCCAUUUCAUUAAUUCAAUCAAAAUCAAAUUUCCCUUUCCAAAAAAAAAAAGAAAGAAAGGAAAUAUACCUGAGACAUCAUUCCAAAUGGUGUUUUCUGAGUUUUGACCACUCCUCCUCUUCCAUGACAGUUAGCACACAAUUUUAUGCAACUAUUUGAUUUAGCACCCGUACCAUCACAAUUUUCACAUGUCUCAAAAAAAGAAAACUGAAUUGUCUUCUCUCCUCCGAAAACUGAUUCUUCAAAGCUUAGGUGCAAGGCAUAACUGUAAGGUUAAGAGAAGGAAAAAGAAUGUCCAAGUCAGACUAUUUGUAAGCACACAUCAUAUAAUUUACAUUAACAAAUAUGAAAGAAUACACAAACUCAGUUCAAGUGAAACCAUGACAAGAGCAAGCUUAGAUAAAUGGUCAUAACGUAGUAGGAUUAGAGUAAAUUAGGGUAUCUUGGUCAAAUCUUUAAUUUUUUUAACAAGAAACAAGCCUCUUUGUUAGGAUAAUGAAAUAAGACUAAUGCUCAAAAUACAUAGAAAACAAAAAGGAACUGAAAAUAACUAUGGAACAGCAGGGUGCCCGAACAUGUCAGCUAGGUUGACACCCCUUUGCACUAACAUCUCCAUUUCCAAAGGAACUUAAAGAUCUUAACAACACAAUAUAGUAUAAACCGAACCUAUAAGAACUUUCUACCAAAAACAAAUCAGAAACUAAGCAAACAAAGUACAAGCUUAGAACACAAUUGCAUAGAGAAUAAUAAUAGGCUAAAGAGAGGUCCACGGCCAGCUGUUACAAUGAAAUCUUCCGAGCCUUCAAGAUUCUCAAUUCAGAUAACAUGGUCUGAAUUACAUGGAGAGGAAACAACACCAAUUUAAGUUAUUUUCUUUACUAGAAUAAACAGCAAAAGCCAUUUAAAGAGAGGACCAAAGAGAAGCAAACAAAGCGAGCUGUCUUAAAUCUGGAAAACCAAUAACCUGCCAGCACUGCCUUCACCUCAUUGCUUUAUCGAAGACCUUUAGUUACUGAACUGCCACUUUGGAAGACCUUUAGUUAACACAUCCGCGACUUAUUCUGUUGUCAAAAGAUAAGGGAUGCAUAUUAUUCCUUGAACAAUCUUCUCCUUUAUGAAGUGUUUAUCAACUUCAAUAAGUUUCGUCCUAUCGUGAAGGACUGGAUUGUGGGCAAUGGAAAUUGUUGCCUUGUUAUCACAAAAAUGUGCAUAGGAAUUGUUUGAGAAAAUCUCAAUUCUUCCAAGAGUCUUCUUAUCCAUAUGCCCUCACAAAUACCAUGGCCUAAUGCCCUGAAUUCUGCUUCUGCACUACUUGCAACCACACUCUGUUUUUUACUUUGCCAAGUAACAAGAUUUCCUCCAACAAAAAUGCAAUAUACCAGAAGUGGAUCUUCUAUCAGUUGUGCUACAUGCCCAAACAGUAUCAGUGUACAUUUCAACAUUUAGGUGGUCAUGUUUUUUAAACAAUCUGCCUUUAAAAUGUUCCAAAUCGAACUCCAUGCCUAGAAAAUGUUUUGAAGCUCCUAGGUCUUUGAUUUGGAAAUCAUCAGCUAAUUUUUUCUCCAUGAAAGUCAAUCUUAUCUUAUCAUUGUCUGUAAGAAUGAUAUCAUCAAAACUACCAAAACCAUAACCUUGUCAUUUCUCGUAUGUUUAUAAAACAUAGUAUGAUCAGCUUGACUUUGAGUAAACCCGCAGCUCAUGACUGCUUUUUAAAACAUUCAAACUAGGCUCUAAGAGACUGUUUAAGACCGUAUAAUGAUUUCUUUAACUUGCACAUUUUGCUAAUCUCGAUAUCUACCUCAAAUCCAGGUUACAAGUCCAUAGAUACCUCUUCUUCAAGAUCCCCAUUGAAAAAGACAUUCUUAACAUCUAGUUGAUAAACAGACCAGUCAAAAUUUACUGCAACCGAUAGCAAAAUUCUGAUGGAAUUAAUUUUAGCAACUAGAGCAAUUGUUUCUCGAUAAUAAACUCCAUGUCUGAUAAAUCCCUUAGAAACCAAUCUGACCUUGUACCUUUCAAUGCUUUUUUUUUAAAAGAAUACGAGUCUCACUAUUAUUAAUAUUAAAAAUAGAGAGACAAAGCUCAAUGUACAUGAGGGGCAUACAAAGAGCAAUCGGGGGAGGGGGAGGAUCAGCAGGCGCACCCAAGCAUCUCAACUAGAUUGACACACCCUUAGCGCCCUCAUCACAUCCAUAAGCGAAAAUAAAAACCCACAUAACAGGUUAAAUAAAAGCAAUACAGCAAAACAAAGCCAGAAAGAUGAUAAAGCAAGGCAGCAAGUCGAAUACAGAGCAAAAAUAAUAAUCCUUGAUUGAGCAAAAACUGAUUGGAGCAGAAGGCUUGAUCUGGGUGGACAAGAUAAACUAGAACUUCAAUACUACCAUCAGCUUUACAUUUUACGGUGAAUACCCACUUGCAUCCAUCUGUUUUCUUGUCUUUUGGUAGUUCAACUAUGUCCCAUGUGCAAUUUGUUUUCAGCACAUUCAUCUCUUCCAUUACUGCUAAUUUCCAAUUCAAAUCAUUUAGGGCCUCCUGUAUAUUUCUUGGAACAAACAGGUUGGUUAUUUUGGAUGUGAAGCAAGACUGUCAACCAAUUUGUGAUAAGAAAGAUAGUAUACAAUGGGAUAUUUGGUCUUUCCUAUGGGCAAUUGGAAUGUCAAGGUAAGAGACAUCAGGUAAGGAAUUUUGAGAAGAAGACUAAGGAAAAUUAUGAGAAGAAGUAUUGGGAGAACUAUGAGAGGAAAAAUGUAUGUUACCUGAAUCUACAGAAUCAUUCAUCGGAGAAAUAGAUUGGUUCUGUGAUAGAUCAACUAUCUGUUCUCAAUUACUUUAAGAUAAGUUUCUUUUGGUAUAAACCCGAAGUUCAAGUUUCUAUAGUGUUCCUCCCCCUGAAGAAGAACUUUCCACACUUGGCAUCAAAUGAUUAGAACUCAUAAUUUCAGGAUCAGCAAUGUAUGGAGUAGGUGAAGUGUUCCAAAAAAUUAUCUUCAAAGUUAGAUGUCUCCCCUAAAGCGAAUUUGGGGUAAAAAAAGGGACACGUCCAUACUCUCAAAAACUUUUGUUCGAAGGGUCACAACAUUUGUAAGCCUUCUUAUGAGAGACAACCUACAAAAAUGCAUUUAACGGCGUAGUUUAGUUAGUGUAGGGUUAGGAGUAUGAACAUAAACAGUCCACCCAAAUACUUUUAUUGGUAAGUCAGAAAGCAGACUAUCAGUAGGAAAGAACUCUUUGGAGAGGUUCAGAGAUGAUUUAAAAUUCAAAACCUUAGUUGGCAGUCGGUUUAUGAGGAACGCAAGCGGUAAAAACCUGCAUCACCCCACAAAUAUUUUGGUACAUGCAAAGAAAACAUAAGAGCACGGGCAACUUCAAGUAGAGAUGUCCAUUUUACCUGCGGGGCCAGGAAUCCCUGAAUACACGAGGAAUGGGGGAGGGAGUGGGAAAUUUUUUUCCCCAUUAGCAACACAAGGCCAGGAACGGGGAAUACAUUCUCCAACCCCAACCUCGUCCCUGCCCCGAUUAAAAAUAUAAUUAAUUAAAUAAAAAUAUAAAUACUUAUUUAUUUAAUAAUAUGUAAAAGAGUAAAAAAAAACUAUUUUGAUAUUAUUCAUUUCCUUCUUUUCUCUAUUCCAUUUCUUUAUUUUUUUUCCUAAUUCCAAUUUUUAUGUUGUAAACUUGUAUAUGAAUAUGUUGUGCCUUGACUUGUGAUUUGUAAACUUUUCUUUAGAAAAAUAUAUUGUUGUGUCUAAUGUAAUUGAAGGCUUUGUUAGAAUACUUAUGAAUUCAUCUUUGAUUUUUUUUGUAUGGAUUUUUUAAUUUUAUAGAUGGAUUUCUAAAUGUAUCUUCUAAUAGUUGAAUUUUUUAUUUUUAUAAACAAAAAGCUAGAAUUUAACAUUUUAAUGGUUUUAAAUAAGAAAAUUGAUAAUAUUCUAUCGAAAAUAAAACAACAUUGACAAUAUAUAUACAUUUCAAGUAAAUAUGGAUUGGAAAAUGAGAUUAAACUUUUAAAAAAAUAGGAAAUAUUUCCCCCCGAGGAAUCCCCACCCCGUUCCCCGCAUGGAAAUUAAUGGGAAUGGAAAAUAGGAUAGGGGCGUGGGGACGGGGAGUGGCAUCCUCGGCCCCGCCCUACCCCAUGGACAUCUCUAACUUCAGGUAAAUGUUUAUUUUUUCACUAGCAAUGCUAUUUUGCAAGGAGUAUCUUGACACGUAGCUUGAUGAAAAAUACCCUUAUCUUGGAAAAAAUUGGUCAAUUGUUCGUUAAAGUAUUAAGUACCAUUAUGAGAGUGAAGAAUGUAAAUUUUAGCUUGAAAUUCGGUCUCAAUAUACUGUAAAAUCGAACAAAAACCUCUUUUACCUCCGAUUUUUUUAAAAAAAAAAGAUAAAACCAGGUUAAACGAGUGUGAUCAUUUAUAACGGUAACAAACCAAUGUUUACCGCAAAACUUUAGAUGGACUCCACAUAUCAAUAUGAAUUAAGUAAAAAGGUGAGGAAGACUUGAAAGGUUUGGGCAAAUAUGUGGAUUGAUGAUGCUUAGCAAAAAUACAACUUUCACAUUGAAAAAUUGAACAAUCAAGAUCUUUAAUAAAAUUGGAAACAAAUACUUCAAGUAAAAGAAAUUUGGAUGCCCUAAUCUACGAUGCCAAAGCAUUACAAUUUCUUUAACAGAAGAAGAAUGUACACUACUUAAACCCUGAGCUAUUUUAUGACUACCUGAAACUUUAUCAAAGUAAUAGAGACCACCAAUCAUCUUACCAGGUCCAAUCGUCUCUCGCGAAUCCUGAUCCUGAAAAGUACAAUGAGAUUCACAAAAGACAACACGACAGUUAGCAUCCUUUGAGAUUUUACUAACAGAUAACAAACUGCAAACUAAUUUUGGAACAUGAAGGACAAAAUGUAACAUGAGUUUUGUUGUUAAAGGAUAGUUCCUUUUCCUGCAAUAGAGGUGAAACUACCAUCAACAAUGCGAAUUUUUUCAUUGCAAUAUGCAGAAGAGUAUGAACCGAAAAGACAAGAGAGACUAGUCAUAUGAUCUGAUGCUCCGGAAUCUAUAAUCUCGGAGAGGAAUUAAGGCAGGAGAAGGCUUGAGAACUGUGCCAAGGAAACACUAGGAUUACCAGAUGAUGAAUUAGUCUUUAACAACUUCAAGAUUUGAUUAAUUUGCUAUUUAUUAAAAGGGUUAACGUCCACAACAAUAGCAUUAGAGGCAUGUUGAUGAGAAUUUCUCUCUCCUUGUACAUAACUUUUCCAAUUAGCAGGUUUUCCAAGAAAUUUCCAACAAGUUUCACACGUAGGUCGAAGUUUAUUGCAAUAAUCACACCAAACACAAGAUUUCCCAUGUGGAUUAGUCAGAUGCCUUCAAAGCAUUAUUUUCAGUUACCAAUGCAGAACUCUCAAUUGAAUCAAAACGUUUUUUUGCCGCUCAUAACAUUCCUGUGACUUUCUUCCCUGCGAACUUCAGAAAAAACAUCAUUAAUUGAUGGAAGAGUAGUUUUACCAAGUAUCCUACCUCUAACCUCAUCAAACUCAACAAGGAGUUUCUAAAUACAACCAUCUUCUACAAUUUUUCGGUAGUGCUUUUGGUCUUCUAUAGACUUCCUCUCAUAUAUAUUAGAGAGAUCAAGGUCUUGCCAAAUCCUUUUUACAAAGUGAAAGUAUUGUGUAAUGGAGUUGCCUCAUUGUCGUAUAUCAUCCCGUUUCAGAUUCAACUCAAAUACUUGUGAUUGGUUGCCCAAAUCAGAAUACAUCUGAGUAACAUUAUCCCAUAAUUCCUUGGUUGUAGUGUAGCACAUGUAGAUACUGCUAAUGGCUUCGGCCAUGGAAUUUACUAGCCAGGUCAUAACCAUGGAGUUUUCAGCGUCCCACCCAGCAAACGAAGGAUCGGCAAGGCUAGAAGUGGUUUUUUCUCUAGUAAUGUGACCAAUCUUCCCUUGUCCACGAAUAAACAUCCAAACACUAUAGGACCAACAAAGAAAAUUAUCCAAUUAAGUCGAAUGGUAGUGAUUUGGACAAUGGGACUAUUGGCUAGGGUGUGGUUGUCUAAGACUUUGGUGGCAAUGAGCUUGGUGUCUACCAUAUCGCUAAAGAAAACAGGAUUUCUAGAAAGAAAAAAACCAAAAUAAUAAUAAUAAUAAUAAUGAAGAGAAUCCGAUGGAGAAUAACGACUAACAACGGCAACAGAAUGCGGUUGGACACAGCGAAAGUGACUCAGACUUGAUCGACCGAUAGAAAGAGGCGCCUCCCUAAAUGAUCUGUGAAAAAAAGGAGCAAAAAGUAGCUAAACUCGAUUCCCGCGGCGAUUCCAGUAGAGAAGUGGUGGUCGACGAGCUCAAAAAAACUGACGACAAUGGUCGAACGACGGCACAAACUAGGGUUUUUUUUUUUUUGAGAAAAUUAGGGUUUUUAGGGUUUCACUUCACUGAUACCAUGUGUAAAAAGGUGCUUUCUUUUAUUUCUCUUAGAAAGAAAAGGGUUUUCUUUAAUAGAAGAAAUACCCAAUACAAAAUAGGAAAAUACAAAUAAGAAAAAAGUAAUUACACAGAUAGAUCUCAAAUACAAUGAAAAUAUAAACAAAAAAAGAAAAUAAUGAACAAUUAGGAAGGAUUAGGAAGGAUUAGGGAAGUAAAUCCCUACGUGACCAACCAGUUAGAAUGACAGAGAAGGGUGAUUUGGUUGGGGUAGAGCUUUAUGGAUGUGUGUCCCUUUUUGUGAGAAAAUCAAUGUAGGGGGAAACUCCAGCCCUUCCACGCUGGCUGGGAGCUUUAAUAAUUGCUCUAGAAUGCUUUUGUUGAUUAUUGAAUACACAAGGGAGGCACCUUUCUGUCUCAUCUAACUUCUUUUUUUUUUUUUGAAAAGGAGAUCGGCCUCGAUAUUAAUACAGUCUCAUGCUAACUAAUAAUGAAAGUGUUCAAGAAUAAAUACAAUAGUAAAUAUACAUAACCUAUUAGUUAAAGCUUUUGAACCCAGAG